GUGUCAGCCGCCGCGGUAAUACGAAGGGUGCAAGCGUUAUCCGGAUUCAUUGGGUUUAAAGGGUGCGUAGGCGGGGUGAUAAGUCAGUGGUGAAAUCUUGCGGCUUAACCGUAAAAUUGCCAUUGAUACUGUCAUUCUUGAGUAGGCUCGACGUGGGCGGAAUGUGCCGUGUAGCGGUGAAAUGCUUAGAUAUGGCACAGAACACCGAUAGUGAAGACAGCUCACGAGGGCCAAACUGACGCUGAGGCACGAAAGCGUGGGGAUCGAACAGGAUUAGAAACCCUCGUAGUCC
rnacentral:rRNA from 1 species